rnacentral:rRNA from 1 species
UACGUAGGGUGCAAGCGUUAAUCGGAAUUACUGGGCGUAAAGCGUGCGCAGGCGGUCCGUUAAGACAGAUGUGAAAUCCCCGGGCUUAACCUGGGAACUGCAUUUGUGACUGGCGGACUCGAGUAUGGCAGAGGGGGGUAGAAUUCCAUGUGUAGCAGUGAAAUGCGUAGAGAUGUGGAGGAAUACCGAUGGCGAAGGCAGCCCCCUGGGCCCAAUACUGACGCUCAUGCACGAAAGCGUGGGGAGCAAACG